rnacentral:lncRNA from 1 species
CAUGACCAACGAAACAAGAUUGAGCAAUAAAGGAAUAGAAAAAGAAUUAAUACCAGACAGGACAGUUUCAAAUCUCUUUGAAGACUUUUCAGUGAAAACAUCUUUUAACCUUUUUUUGUACUCUUAACCUGGAGGACACUGGUAGAAAUUCAAUGAAGCAAGAAUGUGGCAGAAAUGGUUCCAGAAGAGUUGGGAAAGAGCAGGAUAUGAGGCAAUGGCUUUGCCUGCCAUGCUGGCCCAAAGAUAAGAAAGCUGAACCGGGGAAUCAUGAGUGAUUUGCCCAAGUCACGUACCAACUAAGGGGCAGUAUGAAGGUGUACAGGCUUCUUUUCUGAUUCUCUAAUGAUCAUUUGGCUUAAUCAUUUUUUCUGUGCC